rnacentral:rRNA from 1 species
GAUGAACGCUGGCGGCGUGCCUAAUACAUGCAAGUCGAGCGAACGGACGAGAAGCUUGCUCCUCUGAUGUUAGCGGCUGACGGGUGAGUAACACGUGGAUAACCUACCUAUAAGACUGGGAUAACUUCGGGAAACCGGAGCUAAUACCGGAUAAAAUUUUGAACCGCAUGGUUCAACAGUGAAAGACGGUCUUGCUGUCACUUAUAGAUGGAUCCGCGCCGCAUUAGCUAGUUGGUAAGGUAACGGCUUACCAAGGCAACGAUGCGUAGCCGACCUGAGAGGGUGAUCAGCCACACUGGAACUGAGACACGGUCCAGACUCCUACGGGAGGCAGCAGUAGGGAAUCUUCCGCAAUGGGCGCAAGCCUGACGGAGCAACGCCGCGUGAGUGAUGAAGGUCUUCGGAUCGUAAAACUCUGUUAUUAGGGAAGAACAUAUGUGUAAGUAACUGUGCACAUCUUGACGGUACCUAAUGAGAAAGCCACGGCUAACUACGUG